rnacentral:rRNA from 1 species
GACGAACGCUGGCGGCGUGCUUAACACAUGCAAGUCGAACGGAAAGGCCCUGCUUUUGUGGGGUGCUCGAGUGGCGAACGGGUGAGUAACACGUGGGUAACCUGCCCUUGACUUUGGGAUAACUUCAGGAAACCGGGGCUAAUACCGCAUAGGAGCUCCUCCUCCCUGGUGGGGGCUGGAAAGUUUCGGAGGUGGGGGAUGGACUCGCGGCUUAUGAGCCUGUUGGUGGGGUCGUGUCUGACCAGGGAGUUGACGGGUAGCAGGCGGGAGAGGGUGACCGGCCACCUUGGUGGGGAGGUGAGGCGGAGCAGCCUACGGGGGGCAGCAGUGGGGGGUAUUGCGCAGUGGGGGGAGGCCGGAUGAAGGAGCGCCGCGGGGGGGAGGAAGGCCGUCGGGGGGUAGACCGCUGUCGCCUGUGGCGAAGAGUGAGUGACGGUAAUGGGUAAAGAAGCACCGGCUAACUACGUG